rfam:[Clostridium] neopropionicum strain DSM-3847 CLNEO_contig000009, whole genome shotgun sequence.
AUAAUGAUACUUCUGCCUUGAACGCAUCACCGCAUUGGACAGCCGCCUCAGAACGGGGUGGAGAUGCUGGAGCACUUGUUAAAAUCGGUGUUUUGGCACUAUGA